UACGGGGGGGGCAAGCGUUGUUCGGAAUUACUGGGCGUAAAGGGCUCGUAGGCGGCCAACUAAGUCAGACGUGAAAUCCCUAGGCUCAACCUAGGAACUGCGUCUGAUACUGGAUGGCUUGAAUCCGGGAGAGGGAUGCAGAAUUCCAGGUGUAGCGGUGAAAUGCGUAGAUAUCUGGAGGAACACCGGUGGCGAAGGCGGCAUCCUGGACCAAUAUUGACGCUGAGGAGCGAAAGCCAGGGGAGCAAACGGG
rnacentral:rRNA from 1 species